CGGACGGGUGAGCAAUGUCUGGGAAACUGCCCGAUGGAGGGGGAUAACUACUGGAAACGGUAGCUAAUACCGCAUAACGUCGCAAGACCAAAGAGGGGGACCUUCGGGCCUCUUGCCAUCGGAUGUGCCCAGAUGGGAUUAGCUAGUAGGUGGGGUAACGGCUCACCUAGGCGACGAUCCCUAGCUGGUCUGAGAGGAUGACCAGCCACACUGGAACUGAGACACGGUCCAG
rnacentral:rRNA from 1 species